CCUGCUGGGGGUCCUCGCCUGGAAGUAGCGGACCCAGCCGGUUGCGGGCGCCGGGUGUGUGAGGUUCGCGAGGGGACCGUGCAGUGAGUGGCAGCGGCCGGGCUGAGGCGAGGCGGCCUGCAGCCCGAGGCUAGUGCCUGGCACGUGGUUGGUGGCCAGUUCUUGCCGGAGGUACGUGCAGGACGAAGAAGCUGUGCGCUGAUUGCGAGGGCCGAGGCCGCCUUUGAAAGUCUCGAGCUGCAAGCGACGCGGAGACACGAGGGAGCGCAGCUAACGUGGGGGUGACCCAGGGUUCCGGGCUGCGGUCUAGGCGUCAGUAGGCAGUGAUGGGGAGCUAGUCAGUGAUCGGGGAGCUAGUCGUAAGGGCCUUGAUCUUGUCGCUAAGGAAUUUGGGGUGCGGUGGGUUACCCAGGAGUCUAUUGAAGCAGUGCAGGGUGAGUUGGGAACUGUGGGUAUUCUUGGUGUGUAGUCGGAGUAUGGACGGGGGACCGUGUGGCAGGUUGAAGAAGGAUGGCAGAAUUUUUUCUUGGGAGGAGUCACUGAAUUUGAGAAGAGUGAGAAUAAGCCAUAGCUGUCAUCAGUGUGUGUGUAUAGAUAUAGAUAUAGAUAUUUUCUUAACUGACUCUGGUGCCAAAUAUACAGGUGUCGCACUCCUGAAAUGUUGGAAGGCAGGUCGGUGUUUUGGGCAGCUUGUGUCCACCAAGUGUCUUUGGGAGAGUUCAGUCCUGCCUGGCUGAAGGCACAGGUCCAUUUCUGCCUUCACAGGAUGAGAGUAAAUGUAAACAUGGGCUACUGUCCAGACAUCAGGAUUUAGUCCUAUUUUCCAAAUGCAUCAGGUCCAAUUUUGUUUCCUUUUUUUUUUUUUUAAAGGUUUAAUUUUUAAUUUCUACACCCAGAAUGGGGCUCUAGCUUACAACCGUGAGACCAAAAGCAGCACGUUCCACUGGCUCAGCCAGCCAGGUACCCCUGUUUUCUACCUUCAUCUUCAUUAAUAUACCUUUGAAAUAGGGACUUUGCUGAUUCAUGGUCAUUAGUUCACCUGUCUUAUACACACACACACACACACACACACUGGAGAAGGCUGUGGUUCCAUAUUUUAUAGUUGCUUUGACUAUCUUCAGCAGCAAGCCUACUUAAUGAAAGUAAGGGCAAAUGUGAUUUUAGGAGGAGACCCAAUAAGUAACACCCUUUUUCUGAACUUGGGCUUAGAACCAGGAGAAAUAGACGAAUGGCAGGCAGGUGGAGACAGAUAUCAGCUUAUCUGAUACUCAUGGAGCUGUUGGAGAACAUAACAGUGUGAGAACCAGAUUCUCCUGCCUUAUAAUUUUGUGCUGCCAGAGUUCAGUGCUAGGUCUCUUAAAAGCUUUAGAGCAACAGCAACAACAAAAAGAAUCUAAGUCAUUAACAGGCCAUACAGAAUGAUCACCGUAUUGCCCCAAAUUCACUGAAUUUAGAAAGCAGGCCGCCUCUAGCUCAUAGCAGAUUUUGUCCCUAGAAACCUGUCAAAAGACUCUGCUACUCAGUGGUACAUAAGGGAAGGUGAAUAGGCGGAAAAGGUCUUGAUUCAGUGUCACUGGGACUCAAGUAAUUCUAUUACCAGUUACUCACUUAACUAGUGAGUCUGAACUCAGUUGGGAGGAUCACCCAUGAUGAGGUUGAUGAGGACCUGUGUUCAUUAUAUCCUGAGGGGCAUCUACCUGUGUCUAAUCUUGUCUUUAGCUAAUGAUAGUUAAGAUGAUGCCACCUUCCUGCAGUGUUAAUUUACACUAGUGGCAGCCCUAAACCCCAUCUUUUGAGAUGCCUUUCUUUUUUAUCCAGCAUAUUCAAAUUUCUCAGUACUGUUUCUCUUUUGGGGCCUGUGUUUGCAUCCCCAGGCUGCCUUGAGGGUGGGCUCCUAGGACCUAGCUUACUCAGCCCCACCGCGAGCAGGCCUCGUUUGGCCACUACGUUUUGCUGUGCAGUUGGUCAGGCCCAGGACGCUUGGCUCCUGUAUGUGGAGGGCAGGAGGGUGAUCCUUUAUGCCAUGAAUUCCAGUUCAGAAUCCCUCUGGCAGGUUGUGUGGUUUGCUGGGUUUUUUUGUUUGUUUUGUUUUGUUUUGUUUUUACUGAAGCUGCUGUUUCUUCUAAAGUUUGUUGCCUCAGGGACCCAGUGAGAAUGGAGACCUCUGCCAUUCCUCAAGAUACUGUCUUCAGCUUCUGGAUAUUCAGACUCACGGGAGUGGGAUGCUGCUUUAAAGAAGGAAGGAGUGAGAGAAGGAAGACUGGGAAAACAGAGAAGGGAGAGGGAGAUGAAGGAAGAUGACGAGGAU